rnacentral:rRNA from 1 species
UAUUAUAGGGAUGUUUGAUUAUGGCUUUUUGUUUACUUUUAUUAGUAUAAUACAUUGGUACUUAUAGGGUUUUGUUUUCACCAUAGAGUGUGUACUAAACUUUAGCGACACCAGUAUAAACCAAUAAAUAACUUAAGAAAUUAAGGUUUUGUGCUAAAAUAAGGUGGGGGUAAAGCGAAUGCCAGCAGCCGCGGUUAGAUUCGUUCGCAUGUAAACAUUUUCGGGUUUGUUAAAGGCAACUGUUCAUUACAAGCUACGUUAGAGAAAAAAGGUAGAGGUUAAAUUUGGAUCUUUUUGUGUCAAAUUCCAUUAGUAGUUUAGAUGUUUUUUACGUAAUUAUGGAUUAAAACCAGGUUUAGUAUCCUGUUAUUCUUAACGUUAAUAUGGUUAGUACUGCUUAACUAAACAUUGGUUUGUCAAAGAGAAAUGAAUUGGCGGCGUGCGAGUUAAAAAACAGGGGAAUCGGGGUGUUAAAGGCUGAUCCACCAAAAUUUGUCCCUUUAUUUAUAAUAGCAUAUGUAUGGUUCUUUAUUUUACGUUGUAAAGCGUAGGAUAAAUAACUUUUACCGAACGAAGUGUGUUCUGGGUCAGUUUUUGAUAAGAAUUAACAAAAAUCUAAGUAAUAAUUGAGAUUGACAUGCAGCUAUAUAAAGGUUAGCCUGGAUUACAUUUAGAAAAUAAUAAAUAAGAUGUUUAAUUAGCUAAUCAAGAUGUAUCAGUAAUAGACUAAACCAGUAUUGGUUGGUUUUCAUGAUUAUUGUGGUCGAAUAAAAUAGAGUGUAAACAUGUUUUUGAAGAAGGACUUGCAAGUAAAGUGGUUAAAUGAUAGCCUUUUGAAUCAUUUCGCACGAGUACAUAUCGCCCGUCGCUCACGGAUUAAAAUCUGGGAUAAGUCGUAACAAGGUAGGAGUAUCGGAAGGUGCUCCUAACUAACU